rnacentral:rRNA from 1 species
GUAGGUGGCAAGCGUUGUCCGGGAAUUAUUGGGGCGUAAAGCGCGCGCAGGCGGUUCUUUAAGUCUGAUGUGAAAGCCCACGGGCUCAACCGUGGAGGGUCAUUGGAAACUGGAGAACUUGAGUACAGAAGAGGAAAGCGGAAUUCCGCGUGUAGCGGUGAAAUGCGUAGAGAUGUGGAGGAACACCAGUGGCGAAGGCGGCUUUCUGGUCUGUAACUGACGCUGAGGCGCGAAAGCGUGGGGAGCAAACAGGAUUAGAUACCCUGGUAGUCCACGCCGUAAACGAUGAGUGCUAAGUGUUAGGGGGUUUCCGCCCCUUAGUGCUGCAGCUAACGCAUUAAGCACUCCGCCUGGGGAGUACGGCCGCAAAGGCUG